AUUGCCUCAGUAACGGCGAGUGAAGCGGCAACAGCUCAAAUUUGAAAUCUGGCCCCAGGCCCGAGUUGUAAUUUGCAGAGGAUGCUUUGGGCGCGGUGCCUUCCGAGUCCCCUGGAACGGGACGCCAUAGAGGGUGAGAGCCCCGUCUGGUCGGACACCAAGCCUCUGUAAAGCUCCUUCGACGAGUCGAGUAGUUUGGGAAUGCUGCUCUAAAUGGGAGGUAUAUGUCUUCUAAAGCUAAAUACCGGCCAGAGACCGAUAGCGCACAAGUAGAGUGAUCGAAAGAUGAAAAGCACUUUGGAAAGAGAGUUAAACAGCACGUGAAAUUGUUGAAAGGGAAGCGUUCAUGACCAGACUUGGACCGGUCAAUCAUCCAGCGUUCUCGCUGGUGCACUUUUCCCGGUCCAGGCCAGCAUCAGUUCGCGGCGGGGGAUAAAGGCGUCGGGAAUGUGGCUCCCUCGGGAGUGUUAUAGCCCUUCGCGCAAUACCCUGCCCUGGACUGAGGUUCGCGCUCUGCAAGGAUGCUGGCGUAAUGGUCAUCAACGACCCGUCUUGAAACACGGACCAAGGAGUCGAUCUCGUAUGCGAGUGUUCGGGUGUCAAACCCCUACGCGUAAUGAAAGUGAACGCAGGUGAGAGCUUCGGCGCAUCAUCGACCGAUCCUGAUGUUCUCGGAUGGAUUUGAGUAAGAGCAUACGGGGCCGGACCCGAAAGAAGGUGAACUAUGCCUGUAUAGGGUGAAGCCAGAGGAAACUCUGGUGGAGGCUCGCAGCGGUUCUGACGUGCAAAUCGAUCGUC
rnacentral:rRNA from 1 species